GCCAAUUUAGCUCAGCUGGUAGAGCAACGCAUUCGUAAUGCGUAGGUCGCGGGUUCGAGUCCCGCAAUUGGCUCCA
rnacentral:tRNA from 4 species